UACGUAGGGACCGAGCGUUGUCCGGAAUCAUUGGGCGUAAAGAGCGUGUAGGCGGCUUGUUAAGUCUUGCGUGAAAUCUCGGGGCUCAACCCCGAGCGGUCGUGAGAAACUGGCAGGCUAGAGUGCGGGAGAGGAGAGUGGAAUUCCUGGUGUAGCGGUGAAAUGCGCAGAUAUCAGGAAGAACACCCGUGGCGAAGGCGGCUCUCUGGAGCGCAACUGACGCUGAGACGCGAAAGCGUGGGGAGCAAACAGG
rnacentral:rRNA from 1 species